rfam:Triticum aestivum genome assembly, contig: Triticum_aestivum_CS42_TGACv1_scaffold_587857_7BL
GUCGUGACACCUAUGCCCCAAAUUUCUUGUCUUAGAUUUGUCUAGAUACGGAUGUAUCUAAUACUAAAAUGUGACUUGAUACAUCCAUAUCUAGACAAAUCUAAGACAAGAAUUUUGGGACGGAGGGAGUACUUU